GGGGUGUUAGCUCAAUUGGUAGAGUGCUUGGUUCGCAUCCAUGAGGCAGGGGGAUCGAAACCCCCACACUCCA